rnacentral:lncRNA from 1 species
GUAAAUGUCUUGCUAUCGUAAGGGAAUAUAAAACAAUUGACAUUACUGUGAAAUGGACAAUUGUCACACUUUUCUAUUUAGGAAAAUUUGCGACCGAAAAUUUGGUAUAAUCUGCUACGUAUUUUAUAAGUGGGUAUGGAUAUAUGUGAAUCAAAUUUUAUAACAAACUGACGAAGCCAUAGCGACAAAAAACAAAACACGACGAAACAAUAAACAUUCGUAAAAAACUAAUUUAAAGAGCCAUUCAACGUUACUCCCACAACAACUAGGAGGGUACUCAGAUCCUGCCGUAUAUUCGGGAAAACAAUCAAUACGACAAAAUAAAUAUGCUAAUGUACAUCACCGUAAAAUAUUACAGUAAAACGAUCCAUUUAAAAAAAAAACGAAACAUGCGUCUUGCGUAUCAAAUGAUACGAUUUGUACUAUAUAUAUAAAAAAAAAAUGUGGUAUGAUUGCCAAUGAGACACCUGUCCACAAGAGACCAAAAUGACAAAGACAUUAACAACUAUAGGUCACCGCAUACUAGUAGUCAGCUAUAAAAGGCCCCGAUAUGACAAUGUAAAACGAGAAAACUAACGGUCUUAUUUGUAUAAAAGAAUGAACGAAAAACAAAUAUGUCACAUAUAAACAAACGAAAGCCUCUGAAUUACAGGUUCCUGGCUUGGGGCAGGCACAUUCAUAAAUAAUGUGGCGGGGUUAAAAGUGUUAGCGGGAUCCCAACCCCCC